UGAAGAGUGAGAAAUCCAUCGCUCUGGAAACUUUCUGUGUGCCUGCUACCUUCAAACCCUUCCUGCUCUUGGAUUUCCUCCUGCUCCAGCCCCUCAGGUGUCACCUGGCCAUGUCUGAACCUCUCAGGAGCUGCCUGAGCAGCAAAGCUGGAUCCAUUCUCUGUUCUGGAGAAGCCACAGCAAUAUCAGGGAAAACGAUCCCAUUAAUCCCUGCUUGUGCAAGGACGUGAAGCUUUUUCAGAUCAUUCCUUGUGCUGCCACUGCCUGUUAAAGGGAUGGCACAGAGCAGAGUGAGCCUGCUCUGGGGGUGCAGAACCUGAGGACAAAUCCCACCCAGGACUGUCUCAGUGGCUCUGUUCUCAGCAGCUUUUUCCCCAUGGGAUGCAUCUGCUGGAGUGCAGAGAAAAUAAAGAUCCCCUGAAACUCCCCAUUAAAUUGAACAAUAAAACAUUGGUGUAUCCUA